rnacentral:pre_miRNA from 1 species
UACUUACUCCCUCUGUUCCAAAUUGUAGGUUGUUUUGGCUUUUCUAGAUACAUAUGUUUUUGUAUGUAUCUAUACAUAUGUAUAGAUACAUACAAAAACAUAUGUAUCUAAAAAAGCCAAAACGACCUACAAUUUGGAACGGAGGGAGUACUAA